rnacentral:lncRNA from 13 species
CACAGAGAAAGCUGUCUGCAACAUAGGAACACAGCCCUCACCAGAAAACCAAAUUGGCCAGUACCUUGAUCUUGGACUUUCCAGCCUUCAGAACUCUAAGAGACACUUUAAUCAACCUGCUGGCAUGUUGGGAUCAAUCACUUGUGGCAGUUAUAUCCAUUCAUCUUUGUUCUGCCAUUCAUCGUAUGGCAGUAAGGAGCACAGUGUGUAAUUGAAUUUGGUUGAAAUCUAAUAUAAGAGCAAACUGUGACACAGUAGCUGUAACCAGUUUGAAUCAAAAAUGAGGUGCUCUGAGUGGCACAUGCCCCUGGGACUUGUUAUUCUCAUAGUCACAUUACCUGGAUGCUCUCAGCCUGACAGAACACUGGAAUGGCUUAUAAAAGGCUCACAGAAUGCACCAAGUUGGAUAUCACACUGUAGGUUUGGAGGCGAGUUCCCCAUGAUGCCACAUAUACGUGGAAACAAAAAAUGAAAUAGCUGUGGAAGUAAGGUUGGUCUCUCUCAUCAUCAUUCCUAGUGUUUCGUUUGCAAAAGCUGUGUUUCUCAUUCC